rnacentral:lncRNA from 1 species
UAAUAACCUAUAAUUUGGCUAUAAUUUCAAUUAACACGGAAGUAAUUAAUAAUUGACAAAAUGGUGGCUUCUAUUUCAACAAAUUGUAAAUACGAUCAGAGGGCAGCCAUUAUUGAAUCGCUUCAUGUAGGAAAAACAGCAGAGGAAAUCACUUCAUGGUUUAGUUACAAGAAGCCGAGAGAUUUAGGGAGUCUAGCAUGGAGAAACUUACUCCUGACCGAGCCAAAUACAGAAAGUGAUCUGAUUGCAAGAGGAGUGAUGAGUUUGUCUCCGAAUUGGAAGAUAUGAUCAACCAGAAUCCAUGGCAGAGCAUGGCUCACUUGGCAAAAGAAAUGGGCAUGGCGAGGUCAACAAUCAGUCUGGCAGUGCAG